rnacentral:rRNA from 1 species
UUCCGUGCUGAUUUUGGCGCCGAUUCGUUUUGCAUUUCAGAGGCGGCGAGGGUGGUGGGAAGGGGGGCGGAAGGCAGUCGCCUCGCUGAGAAGAUGGGCGCGGUCAGGGACGGCUACGGCAUGGGCUUGUUGCAGACCGCGGCCCUAGGCGGGAGCCUGCCCGUGUGCCGCUACCUUGUCGAGGACAUCCGGCUGGAUGUCGAUGACGUAGGCCCGAUGGGCGAAACACCUUUGACUGUUGCGAUUGGCUGUCAGAAUGUGGAUUUGGUGCGUUACUUUCUUGAUCAAGGUGCUGCUACAAUGAAGCUCAACGACAGUGGGAGUACUCCUCUCCACCUUGCUGCUGCAGAAGGAAGCUGUGAAAUAGUUGAGCUCUUACUCUCCAGUGGAGCUUAUGUUGAUGCAAUACAUCUUGGUGGGACGGCACUGCAUUCUGCUGCACGUAAUGGGCGGGAUGAUAUUGUGAAAAUUUUGCUAGAACACCAUGCAGAUCAUAAGAUAGCUUUGGGUGGUACUGGUUAUACAGCUCUUGCAAUUGCUACUGUUGUGCACUCACUGAAAUGUGUGAAGCUCCUGCUUGAGGCUGGUGCUGAUGUGGAUGGUAAUUGUAAAGAGACACCAUUAAUCAUUGCUGCCAUUAGUGCCUCAACUGAAAUCCUGAAGUGCUUAGUUCUGGCUGGUGCGGAUGCUAAUGUUCCUGACAGUCUAGGACGAGCUCCUAUUGAAAUUGCUGCCCGCUCUGGUAGGCGUGAAGAUGUUGAGAUUCUAUUUCCAGUCACUUCUUGUAUUCCAAAUGUACGUGACUGGAGUGUAGAUGGGAUCAUUAGGCGUAAAAUCAGCGCGCCCAGCGAAGGUAAAGCCAUGCUUACUAGUGCAAAAUCUAAAGCGCAUGAGGCAUUCAAGAACGGGAACUAUUAUCUUGCAGCAAGAAUUUACAAAGAGGCAAUGGCACUUGAUCCUGGUAAUGCAACCUUGCUUUCAAAUAGGAGCCUAUGCUGGCUUCGCCUCGGUGAUGCAAAGAACGCCUUGAAUGAUGCUCAAGCUUGCAGUAUGAUGCGGCCUGGCUGGCCAAAGGCCUCAUAUCGUGAAGGAACUGCUCUAAUGUUACUGAAGGACUAUGAAAAGGCAUGUGGUGCAUUUCUUGACGGUCUUAAACUGGAGCCCAGGAACGUAGAGAUGGAAGAUGGAUUACGGCAGGCUUUGGAAUCCUUGAAGAUAUAUCGCAGUAGCCCUGGGCAAGACUAG